rnacentral:rRNA from 1 species
UACAGGGGGGGCAAGCGUUGUUCGGAAUUACUGGGCGUAAAGGGCUUGUAGGUGGCCAACUAAGUCAUACGUGAAAUCCCUCAGCUUAACUGGGGAACUGCGUGUGAUACUGGAUGGCUUGGAUGUGGGAGAGGGAUGCGGAAUUCCAGGUGUAGCGGUGAAAUGCGUAGAUAUCUGGAGGAAUACCGGUGGCGAAGGCGGCAUCCUGGACCGAGAUUGACACUGAUGAGCGAAAGCUAGGGGAGCAAACGGG